UACGUAGGGGGCAAGCGUUGUCCGGAUUUAUUGGGCGUAAAGAGCGUGUAGGCGGCCAGGUAGGUCUGCUGUGAAAACUCGAGGCUUAACCUCGAGAUGUCGGCGGAAACCAUCUGGCUAGAGUCCGGAAGAGGAGAAUGGAAUUCCUGGUGUAGCGGUGAAAUGCGCAGAUAUCAGGAGGAACACCGGUGGCGAAGGCGGGUUGCUGGGCUGAUACUGACGCUGAGGCGACGGAAAGCCAGGGGAGGCGAACGGG
rnacentral:rRNA from 1 species